GCAUGCAAGUCGAGCGGCAAGGGCCUUCGGGCCCCUAGAGCGGCGGACGGGUGAGUAACACGUGGACAAUCUGCCCCCCGGACCGGGAUAGCCCAGGGAAACCUGGAUUAAUACCGGAUGAGAGCGUCGGCGCACAAGCGUCGGCGGGGAAAGGCGCUGCGGCGCCGCCGGGGGAUGAGUCCGCGGCCCAUUAGCUGGAUGGCGGGGUAAAGGCCCACCAUGGCGACGAUGGGUAGCCGGCCUGAGAGGGUGAUCGGCCACAUUGGAACUGAGACACGGUCCAGACUCCUACGGGAGGCAGCAGCUAAGAAUCUUCCGCAAUGGGCGAAAGCCUGACGGAGCGACGCCGCGUGAACGAUGAAGGCCGUGAGGUUGUAAAGUUCUUUUCGGGAGGGAGAACAACCGUGGCAGGGAAUGGCCGCGGGAUGACGUGAAUCCCGGAAUAAGCCCCGGCUAACUACGUGCCAGCAGCCGCGGUAACACGUAGGGGGCGAGCGUUGUUCGGAAUCAUUGGGCGUAAAGGGCGUGCAGGCGGCCCUGCAAGUCCGGCGUGAAAGACCCCGGCCCAACCGGGGGGACGCGCUGGAAACUGCAGGGCUUGAAUACAGGAGGGGAUGCCGGAAUUCCAGGUGUAGGGGUGAAAUCUGUAGAUAUCUGGAAGAACACCAAUGGCGAAGGCAGGCAUCUGGCCAUGUAUUGACGCUGAGACGCGAAGGUGCGGGGAGCAAACAGGUUUAGAUACCCUGGUAGUCCGCACAGUAAACGAUGUGCACCAGGUGU
rnacentral:rRNA from 1 species